CUGCCAAACAAGGAUGCAAACACAGCUUGCUGGACCUCCCGGACCUUCCCUCGAGAGAGGGAAGAAAGGACAGCUGGAGCCCCCCACCCCCGUGCUGGUGAUGUCGGAGUGUGUGUGCCCAAGUCCAUCGUCACAUCCGGGGGUUUAGCCAUGGGGUGCAGGAGGCGCCUGGCGCCUGGUGGGGGGGUCAUCUUGACAGUGAGCAGCCGUGUGGACUUCUAGGCUUUUGCAGAUCCCAGAGCCAAGGGAAACUUGGCCAGAUUGGACCCUGGGUUCCGCAUGGUGGGAGAACAGAGCAGAGUGAACUAACUGUGUUGGCAGUGUCGGCAAGACAGAAGGCUAAAGGAGGAAGCAAGAACAGUAUCUUAUUUUAAGGCUAAUUCUUCAUGCAUUGGAAUCACAUGAAGAACACGUUUAAAAAAAUCCCACAGGGUGUGGGCCCGCUCCCAACAUUUGGAGGCUACAGAGGCACAGGUGGUGAGGACUGGGUUUCUACAGGUGCUGAUGGUCCAGGGAAGCCUGCCUUAACAUCGCUGCCCUCCGUGUCUGUGCCGUCCCUGAUGCCUUGAAGCCGGGAGACAGAUUUGCAAGGUGCCCAUUGCUCCCGAUGGAGCGUAGACCAGCAGUCAAGCACGUUUAAACUGAAACGGUUUGCUGAAGUACUGUUCUCAUCAAGGCAAUCUGGGUUAAAGCCGGGUUGAAACCAGGUCCCUGCUGGCACACAGUUCCAUCGGAGAUCCCCAGGUCAACAGUAGGCCACUGGUACUGAGCCUAUUGACAGAUGUCGGACAGCCUUAUUCUCACCACAAACUGAUGCCGCUUCACUUGAAAAACUACAAAGAAGGAAACUGAGCUACUAUUGUAGCAGACAGGAGAGAGACAAAGAGGAGGUCAGAGUGCCCCUGGUUGCCUAGGAUACCAAGGAUACCAAGCAUUCUGACAGCCAGGAAAGGAAAACCAAGAGCUCACCUCUGUGGAGCCCCAUCAACCAUCACCCUGAGUAAACAGCUUUUGUCACGACAGGGCAUCAGGAAACCCAGAGAGGCAGCCUGCACCGCUGGGGAAGGUGGUGUGAAGUCAGGCUUUGUCACAGCUGGUGAGGUGACCCCCGCAGAGAGGAAGAAGCAGGGAACUGGGUUUGAGCACAGCCACGUAGUGAUGGUUUAGGAUAGAGGGUUGCCCAAGGCCCAGGGUUUUCAGAGAUGUUGGUCCAUGAGGUCUGGGAAAAAGCUGUUACAUUGCUCUCUUGCCUGUAAUUUCUAGCUAAGCAAAAGAAACGGAGAUUGACGCAACCACUUAUAACCAACCCGCUUCAAAUUGUGGUGGCUCUGAUUUCUAGGUGGCAGCCAUUCCCAGCCACUAAUACCUCCAAGCCACAGCAAGCGUGUGUGUGUGUGUGUGUGUGUGUGUGUGUGUGUGUGUGUGUGUGUGUGUGUGUGUGUGUGUGUGUGUGUGUGUGUGUGUGCCACCCACACCUUGAUUGACGGGUGUGCUCUCUGGCUCAGCAGUUAAGAGGACCUGGGUUGGAUUCCCCAGCAUCCACAAGGCGGCUCAGAGCCCUCUGUAACUCCAGUGCUCGGGGACCUGGUGCCCUCUUCUGACCUCUGAGGACCCUGCAGGCACAAGAUAAAUGAAAACAGACAAGACACCCACACAGUGAAGUGAAAAUAAUUCUCUUUAAGAGAGCCUCUUAAAGCAGAGCAUCCCAGGAGGGUCGGGCCGGAUGCUUGGGAGGCAGGAUGAACGCAUCACACAAGUCACAGCUCUCUGCGGCUGUGCGGCUUCAAGCCGGGGCAGGAAUCCUCCUGGAUGUGCAUGGGCUGGAGUUAGUGCCCCUGCUGCCCCUGGCACUCCCGGACACUGUCGCUUUCUGUCCUUGCCGAGGAACCCUUUGACCUGAGAGCCUGACUCACAGCCAAAGAGCUCUUGGCCCGUGAGUCUCCUGAACAGCUGCACUUCCUGGAGCUUCGGACUCAUCCUGGCUCCGCAGCCGACCCUGACAGCAGAAAUUCCGCCUGGACAAGGUUCAACCUGACCCCUGAGCUCCAGACCUAAAGCAAGAUGAGAUGACAGGAGCGUUUCCUUCUCUAGAGGAGGAAAGCCGGUGAAGAGGGGAGCACGUGAGUGGGGCCUGGACUCCUACCCUGCCCUACCACCCACACUGGCUGGCCAUCAUUAUUGUGCUCGCAAGACAGGGGUGCAGCCCGCAACCUGCCGCCUGCUGCAGGCGGCGGGGUACAGGGGGCGGGGUGCGGGCGGUGGGGUGUGUCUGCUGGUUCCUCGUGGUUUCAGCCUCUACUUCUGAGGCCCACUCUCUGCCCUGGGGGCUGAUUUGAAGGAAUGACAUCAAUCUCAUCCAGAUGAGACCUUCUUUCAGAGACGUGAGAAGAUUGGUCAGAGGGGAGGAGAAGAGUGAGGACUUGUUUCCACCCCUCUAACCUCUUCAGGGGGUGAGGCGGGGCCCCUCUCCUGCGGGUGUCUGUCCCCUCAAGGCAGCAUGUAUGCAGCCAUCCUCUGGGAUCUGGUGACUUGGUGACUUCUCACCUCCCCGGGAGCCCUGAAGGUGUUAACAAGCCCUACCGUACUAGCCCUGGGCCUUUCCACCCCUGUCCUGGUUUCCUUGUUUGCCAGUGACUUCGCAAAGGGUUUAUGGAGUUUUCAUCUUCCUGGAAGAGAGUGAGAAUCAUUUCCUGCUGAGACCAUGACUAAUACAACAAGCAACUUGAUGCACACUGAGCACCAGCCGGGUGGACACUGAGGUACGUUUUGCACUUUAGUUUGGGGUUUUGUCGAAACUACAUUUGAGGGGAAAAACUGAAACCAGCUUCCACAGCGGCAAUUACCAGUUUGGGAAACACAUUAAAACAAACGAACAAGCAAACAAACCUUUACCGAUCUCAGCGACCGACAGCAGCAUGAGUCUAGGGGACACAUCUCUAUUUAAUGUUUGGUUGGAGUGGACUUAAGGCUCAUUCCAGGAGAUGGAACCUGGCCCUCAUCAGAGAUGGAGAAAGAAGGGUCUCUGUCUAUCCCUUCCCUCAGGGCUCAGGGGGACUCUAUGGAAGACGAGAUAGAAAGACUGUAAGAUCCACCGGGGAUGGAGGACGCCAGGGAAACACGGCCACGUGGACACAACGGGACUGACAGGCAUACACACUCACAGAGUCUGGGAUAGAAUGCCCAGGUCCAAACCAGACAAGGUCCCAGCGCUGACGUGGGAAGUAGACACAAGUGCCCAUCCCCAACCAAGAAGGAAUCUCCAAUUAACAACAGCUCACGAAGGAAACAUCAAUCUCCCCAAGGGAGUCUCAGCGGGCAUAUGAACCACACCCAAGGGGCAGGGCCCAGGCCCAGCAGUAGACGGCCAAGAAGGCCAGCAUAAAAUGAACUCAAAGGGUCUUUCUCACCCAGAGUUUUGUCCCCAGUCUGCCGGUAACAGUGACUCAGGCGUUCUCCAAAGCGACACUGCGGUCUCUGCUACUGUCAAGCCGGGUUUAGCUGCUGAAUCACCAAGUAUCACCAAGACCUCAUGCCUGUGUGCUUACCUCACAGCCGAGGAAGCCCAGGCUGUCACCCAGCCAGCUUUUGAAACUGGAUGUGUAGGAUCUCACCCUGUGGCUCGAACUCUCUUCUUCCCUCUCUAAGGAGAUUGAAUGACAAUGUUUCCGCAACAGCAGCCACAGCCCUACAGUCGAUAAAGCUUUAUCUACACCGUUGUGUAGGGAACAAAGUACAGUAAUUCCUACUUCCAAUUUCCGAUAUAAAAAGAAAAAAGUCCCUGCUGCUCUAGAUUUAAAUGAGUCCCGUACUGUCAAGACACUGCGAGUCUAAAAUCGAGCCCUUCAGGGAGCCACGGGUAAUUUUUAGAAUCACAGUGAAUAACAGAGGCUCCAAGUCAGAGGCAGUCGAGUGUCUGUGAUGAAUGACUUAGCAAAAAGCCCUCUACUACAGCUCAAACCCCUGAAGUCACAUUAGCUGUUUUUAGAACGCGCCAACCUUCCUCCAAGUUCAAGUCAAGUUCAGCAAAAGAAGAAGUGCGCCACUGACUGGAGGAGGAAGAGCGCAGGCAGGAGGGUCGCGUUCAUCCCCAGCUGCGCGCCUCGCACAGCUGCGCGCCUUGCACCGUUAGCGUCUCUGAUGCUCAUGCUCUGAGAUACAGGGUAGAGAGAGCGGCACACCCUGCGCUCACACCCGGAGACAAUCAGCCAAGAUUCAGUUCUCAAACCAACAGGCAGGUGAGCACCACCUGUGUUUGCAGCCGUGCUCAGGAGGAGCCGCUACCCUGCAAGUUUAAAAACAAAAGGAGCCAGCGGGCAGUGGACCUGGGGGGCAAGCGGAGUCAGGGGAGGGCGGGGGAGACACUGGAGAAGAGAAGGAAAACCUGUCCGUAACCCGGGGCUUAGGAAGGCCCCCCGGAGUCAGGUCCCAGCAGGGAAGAGGCAGAAGCUAUGAAGAGAGUUUGAGGAGCCUGACUCCCAAAUGGUGUGCGCCUAAACUCCCAGCACUCGGCCGCUGCCACAAGUUCAAGGCCAGCCGGGGCUACACGGGAAGUACCAGGCCAGCUGGAGAGCAAGUCUUGGUACCAGGACAAGAGCGCCAGGCCCUGCCUCAAAACAAAGAAGAGAGGCCGAGGCAGCGGGCAAGGCCGUGGACAGAUGCCGAGGAAGCUCCCCAGCUGCCGGCCCUUCUCGCUUGGGAUGGCUUGAAGGGCUAGCCAGACAACAGGCCAUGCCGGAGUACCCCAGCCUGCAGACUGUAGGAGAUAAGAUGUUCUCUGUAAUGGCCUUGCCUGGAAUAUCUCGCUAUAGGGAGAGAAAAGGAAACAAGAUUAAUUACCUUGAUUUGAUUUGUUUUGUUUUGGAGACAGGGUUUCCCUGUAGCUUUGGAGCCUGUCCUGGAACUCGCUCUGUGGACCAGGCUGGCCUUGAACUCACAGAGAUCCGCCUGCUGGGAUUAAAGCCCAUCAAUGAUUACCCUUCUACUUUCCCGUCCAUCCCCC